UUUUCAGCCACGUAAGUAAAAGUAAAUAUCAACCGUCAUGUUUUCCUCACAUCGGGCUUCGCAAUUUUCCAUUUGCGGCAACCCAGUGUCUUUUCAACUCCCUACACGUUAUGUUCUCCCCUUGCCCCACCCUUUGUGGUUGCUCCAUCUCCCCAUUAAACCUGACAGAGCGCUCUUAUUUCUCGUGCAUACUAUCUCUCCAUCACAGACGUUCCACUUCAUCACCUUCAUGCAACUCGGCUCUUGCUACUGAAUCCUGUCCUAGGUGAGUUUCCUACGCCUUGACUCGAUUUGCCUUAGAAGUAUUUUUAGGUUGUGCAAAUAGAGACUGGACUAUGCUCUCUCCAGGACUCGAAGUACUCCGUUGCCACACCAUCAAGGACGGAAGAUGAUUUUUCAUGUAGAUAAAAAGGCAUGACAAAAAAAUUCAUGACGAAAAAAGCAAGGGGUUCUACCUUACAAAUCAUCUCACGGCUUCUUGAUUCUUGAUUGCAUUUCCCAUUUGUACAUAUACGUAUCAUCAUUUAGAGAUUUGAAUUUUGGAGGAUCUGAGUCCACACGAUCAAUGGAGAAUGAUUUAUCCCCCAAAAUGGAAAACUGGAAGGUGUUUUGUAUGCCAUCGGAAUAUACAAGUCUGAAAAUUGUUAGCCUUUACAAAUUGACUAUUGGGGGAGCACCUGGACGUAGUUUGUUUAUGUUUUACACCUUCAGUACAUCAAAGGUGUUUUGUAUUAAUUAAUUAAUCGAGUCUCUAGCUAUAGACUUUAAUUAACACUCGCCAUUGAUACAAAAUAACCAACAGCGAGGGCCUUCUGAUUUGUUUGGUGAAUUACAGUUUUUUGCUUGAUUUAUUUUGCAGAUAUCAUCCAUCUAUUAACACAAUUUAGCUCCAAUCUCUAUUGAAUACCUUGUACUUGCAUUUAUCAUCCUGCUCCUUCAUAGGGAUGUCAUUCCAAAUCAUUUCUCAGUAUCGACAUGACCGUGGAAUUUCCUUACUGUCGAAUCUAGGGACCAACGAAGAUCUCGGGUAACGUCCGAGUUGAACCAGAGGAAUACAAGUUAGCUAGUUGUUAAGGAAUUUAUGAUGAAACAAACACAGGCUUCCGGUGGUGGAAAUUGGGGGUCUGAAUGGAAGACUGAUCUGAAGAUCAUAGACAUGCUCACAUCCCAUGUUUCAAAAAGGCUCCGAUCCUGGGAUGUUGGAAGUCUUUGGAACCACAGGAAUAAUAUUUUCUUCCAUAUUAGACGUAGACAGAUAUCUGAUGCUUUUUUUUUCUUUUGAGCCAAACAAAGUCUAAAAGAAGAAAUGCAGAAUGCAGACACUCCCUCCAAUCCAUAAUAAUUGUCAGGAAUUUAGUACAAAAUUGUACUAACUUUAACUUUUUA